rnacentral:rRNA from 1 species
GAUGAACGCUGGCGGCGUGCUUAACACAUGCAAGUCGAACGAUGAACCGGGUGCUUGCACUCGGGGAUUAGUGGCGAACGGGUGAGUAACACGUGAGCAACCUGCCCCUGACUCUGGGAUAAGCGCUGGAAACGGCGUCUAAUACUGGAUAUGUCCCGUCACCGCAUGGUGUGCGGGUGGAAAGAUUUUUCGGUUGGGGAUGGGCUCGCGGCCUAUCAGCUUGUUGGGGAGGUAAUGGCUCACCAAGGCGUCGACGGGUAGCCGGCCUGAGAGGGUGACCGGCCACACUGGGACUGAGACACGGCCCAGACUCCUACGGGAGGCAGCAGUGGGGAAUAUUGCACAAUGGGCGGAAGCCUGAUGCAGCAACGCCGCGUGAGGGAUGACGGUCUUCGGGUUGUAAACCUCUUUUAGCAGGGAAGAAGCGAGAGUGACGGUACCUGCAGAAAAAGCACCGGCUAACUACGUGCCAGCCGCCGCGGUAA